ensembl:snRNA U2 U2 spliceosomal RNA
AGCGCUUCUCGGCCUUUUGGCUAGGACCGAGUGAAUUAUCUGUUAACCAUUGGACAGCUGAUGCCAGCUGUAUCUGAAGACAAUAUAUUAACUGGAUUGUUUGGAGCAGGGAGAUGGCCUAGGGACUAACUAACUUCACUGUAUAUGUUAACCUGACUUUGCAGUUUCUCUAGGAAUAGUGCAGCCCUG